GCACAAGCAGCGGAGCGUGUGGUUAAUUCGAUGCUACACGAAGAACCUUACCAGGGUUUGACAUGCAAGUGGUAGGAAUCUGAAAAGGGACCGACCCUUCGGGGAGCUUGCACAGGUGCUGCAUGGCUGUCGUCAGCUCGUGUCGUGAGAUGUUCGGUUAAGUCCGCUAACGAGCGCAACCCUCACUGUGUGUUAUAUGUGUCACACGGGACUGCCGGUUUUAAGCCGGAGGAAGGUGGGAUGACGUCAAGUCAGCAUGGCCUUUAUAUCCUGGGCUACACACACGCUACAAUGGUCGGUACAAUAGGUUGCCAAGCCGCGAGGCGGAGCCAAUCCACAAAGCCGGCCUCAGUUCAGAUUGUAGGCUGCAACUCGCCUGCAUGAAGAUGGAGUUGCUAGUAACCGCAGGUCAGCAAUACUGCGGUGAAUACGUUCCCGGGUCUU
rnacentral:rRNA from 1 species